AGGUUUAGACGCGUAGAUGGAAGCAAUAGAAAGAAGGAGAAACAAAGGAGGAAGACGAAGAAGAAAUGAUAAAUAGAGGCGGAAUAGGAGAAGGAGCCAAGCUGUAAUAAUUAUGUGACGACAGCGAGAGUGAGCUGGACGUGGCGGAGGCUAUGGGCGAUGAGUUCACGGCGCAGGUCAGCCUCACCAUGCACCACGCUGACUGUCCGCAGCUAUUCAUCAAGGUCGGAGAGGCCUGUAUCUUCCAUGUUCUUCCCCGGAAAUUUGUAUCCUGUGCUGGAUUUUGCCAACCUGUCUCAUCAUUAAUUUGGAGUGGUGCCUUGUAUCGCAUAUGUGGCUCACGGGGACAGCCACGCACUUGUAUGUAGACAGUAGAUGACGUUGACUGCUGUUGUUGAUUCGUGAUAUCAUGGAUUUUUUAGUAGUUACAGUCGUAUUGUUCAU